rnacentral:rRNA from 1 species
AUUGAACGCUGGCGGCAUGCUUUACACAUGCAAGUCGAACGGCAGCGCGGGCUUCGGCCUGGCGGCGAGUGGCGAACGGGUGAGUAAUGCAUCGGAACGUGCCCAGAAGUGGGGGAUAGCCCGGCGAAAGCCGGAUUAAUACUGCAUCCGACCUGUGGGUGAAAGUGGGGGACCGAAAGGCCUCGCGCUAUUGGAGCGGCCGAUGUCGGAUUCGCUAGUUGGUGGGGUAAAGGCUUACCAAGGCGACGAUCCGUAGCUGGUCUGAGAGGACGACCAGCCACACUGUGUCUGAGACACGUCCCAGACUCCUACGGUAGGCAGCAGUGGGGAAUUUUGGACAAUGCGGGCAACCCUGAUCCAGCCAUGCCGCGUGCGGGAAGAAGGCCUUCGGGUUGUAGACCGCUUAUGGUCGGGAAGAAAUCCUCUGGGCUAAUACCCCGGGGGGAUGACGGUACCGGAAGAAUAAGCACCGGCUAACUACGUG